GAGUUGUUUGGGAAUGCUGCUCAAAAUGGGAGGUAAACCCCUUCUAAAGCUAAAUACCGGCCAGAGACCGAUAGCGCACAAGUAGAGUGAUCGAAAGAUGAAAAGCACUUUGAAAAGAGAGUUAAAAAGCACGUGAAAUUGUUGAAAGGGAAGCGCUUGCGACCAGACUCGCGCCCGUCGGAUCAGCCGUCGCUCGUCGGCGGCGCACUCCGGCGGGCUCGGGCCAGCAUCAGUUCGCCUCGGGGGGAGAAAGGCGGCGGGAAUGUGGCUCUACGGAGUGUUAUAGCCCGCCGCGUAAUACCCCCGGGCGGACUGAGGACCGCGCGUAUGCAAGGAUGCUGGCGUAAUGGUCGUCAGCNACCCGUCUUGAAACACGG
rnacentral:rRNA from 1 species